GGAUAGUUAAGUUAUUAGAGCAUGAGACUCUUAAUCUGAGGGUCAUGGGUUUGAGCCCCAGGUUGGGUACA